GAUCCCUUUUUAAAACACAAAUUUGAUCAUGAAAUAGCUUAGGCCCUAUCUGCUUCCUAAUAUUAACUCUUGUGCUUUAUUAUAAAUUUCCCUUCUGGCCUCAAUGCAAUAAUAUGGUUGGGUUUUAGAUAUUCAGGCUCCAACACACUGUGUCUGGAUUCAGUUCUCUCCUAUCAUAUAGUUUUAAAGAAUCAUAUUUGGUUAGUGUAAAACAUCCAUGAUUAUUAGUUUUAUGGAGGGACAGUGCUCUGUCAUUAUUCAGUGAGGCCCUUCAUUAAUUGGUUUUAUUUGAUUUUUUUCCCCUAACAGGACACAGUCUUUGAUCCAUAUUCCCUCACUUGUGGCCAUAUAUUUUGCUACAUGUGUGCUUGCUCAUCUGCAUCAGUGUCAAUUGUUGAUAAGUUAAAGUCAGCAGAGCCUAAAGGAAAAUGCCCUCUGUGCCGAGAGCUUAUGAAUUUUAAGGAGAAAGAUGGCUUUUCAUUUUGAUUGGUGAUGAACUGGACUAAUUAUACUACUCAUCAACGGCAUGGAAUCUUUUAGUUAAGGUGAAAAGGGUUGCAUUGGUGAGUUUCUUUUGUAUUUCUCUUACCUUUCAAAGGGCACAAGACUAAGGAUGUAUACUUUUAUAAUGCCUGGUCUACAUGAGAUGGAGUUUCUACUAAUGAACAAUUAGAUGCUUGUAGUGCACACAAGACUGAGACAGGGCUAAUGAAUAACAUUAUGUAAUAACAUUAUAACCUUAGUUCACCAAGUUCAAGGUCCUUAAUGAUUUUCUUUUAAUAUGUUAUUUAUUUAUUUAUUUAUUUAAAUGGAUGUAGUUUAUAUAAAGAUAUGUUAAGCAUUCUUGUGUU